rnacentral:rRNA from 1 species
UUGAACGCUGGCGGCAUGCCUAACACAUGCAAGUCGAGCGGAUGAGGAGUGCUUGCACUCCGAUUCAGCGGCGGACGGGUGAGUAAUGCCUAGGAAUCUGCCUGGUAGUGGGGGACAACGUUUCGAAAGGAACGCUAAUACCGCAUACGUCCUACGGGAGAAAGCAGGGGACCUUCGGGCCUUGCGCUAUCAGAUGAGCCUAGGUCGGAUUAGCUAGUUGGUGGGGUAAAGGCUCACCAAGGCGACGAUCCGUAACUGGGCUGAGAGGAUGAUCAGCCACACUGGAACUGAGACACGGUCCAGACUCCUACGGGAGGCAGCAGGGGGGAAUAUUGGACAAUGGGCGAAAGCCUGAUCCAGCCAUGCCGCGUGUGUGAAGAAGGUCUUCGGAUUGUAAAGCACUUUAAGUUGGGAGGAAGGGCAUUAACCUAAUACGUUAGUGUUUUGACGUUACCGACAGAAUAAGCACCGGCUAACUUCGU